UUCCUUGCUGGUAUUUGUGGCCAUGUGACUGAGUUCUUGCUAAUGGAAUAUGAGCAGAAUGAUGUUAUGUCACUCUAAGGACUGACGCAAAAAACCUCUCAUGUUUGAUUUUUUCAUAUUCUUUCACCUUCUAGGGCUUGAUGAAGACAAAAGUGUUAACAUUGGAAGCCAUGUGUUGAAGAUGGUGUAGCUGUAAAAUGGAAGGGUACUAGAUCUUGGAGCUACGACUUGGAGAAGAACUCAUUGAUCAAGACUUUACAUGACUGCAUGUAAGACUGGCCUUUCUCUAGUGUGAUGACUCCUUCAGCUGAGCUGUGGUUGGCGAAGACAAAGAUCAUCACCAGUGACCACUCCCCUGGUGCAAAUUAUAAGCCAAGAAGGAAGGAGGGACAGACUUCCAGGGAAGAUGGUCGAGGAAGAGGACCCUAAGUGAACCUUGUCUUGUGGAUACAACUAGAUGACACUUACAUCAGUUUAGGAGUGCCUUUGGUAUCACACCAUUUGUGGAGGAGUCUCCAUCCUUGUGGGGCUGACCUUGAAUGCCAGUGCUGCCCAAUGAGAGCAGGAUCUUCUACUCCUGACCCAGCAGAGUUGGAUGCGGAGAAGGGCCGAGAUCUCCUUCAGGGAAAGAUCUAAAUUGAAGUCACUCCCAUUUUCACUCCAGACGUUGUCCAUAACUAAAGUGAU